rnacentral:rRNA from 1 species
CAGCAGUGGGGAAUUUUGGACAAUGGGCGAAAGCCUGAUCCAGCAAUGCCGCGUGUGUGAAGAAGGUCUUCGGAUUGUAAAGCACUUUCGACGGGGACGAUGAUGACGGUACCCGUAGAAGAAGCCCCGGCUAACUUCGUG